rnacentral:piRNA from 1 species
UCAGAGCUUACAUUAGGAGAACCCUCGU